GAGGGAAUAGCUCAGUGGUAGAGCACAUGCUUAGCAUGCACAAGGUCCUGGGUUCAGUCCCCAGUACCUCCA
rnacentral:tRNA from 1 species